rnacentral:rRNA from 1 species
AACGAACGCUGGCGGCAGGCUUAACACAUGCAAGUCGAACGGGCGUAGCAAUACGUCAGUGGCAGACGGGUGAGUAACACGUGGGAAUAUCCCUCUCAGUUCGGAAUAACUCAGGGAAACUUGAGCUAAUACCGGAUACGUCCUUCGGGAGAAAGAUUUAUCGCUGAGAGAUUAGCCCGCGUCUGAUUAGCUAGUUGGUGAGGUAAUGGCUCACCAAGGCGACGAUCAGUAGCUGGUCUGAGAGGAUGAUCAGCCACACUGGGACUGAGACACGGCCCAGACUCCUACGGGAGGCAGCAGUGGGGAAUAUUCGACAAUGGGGGCAACCCUGAUCCAGCCAUGCCGCGUGAGCGAUGAAGGCCUUAGGGUUGUAAAGCUCUUUUGCCAGGGAAGAUAAUGACUGUACCUGGAGAAUAAGCCCCGGCUAACUUCGUGCCAGCAGCCGCGGUAA